GGUCACAUGACGUCUGCUUCCGCCCGGAAGGAGGAUCCUCCACAAGAGUUCUUCACUUUUUGGGAGUUUUCCUGAUCUGAUGUGAGGUCAAAGAUGAGACCAGAACAGCACCGCGACCCAAAGAAAGACAUCCGCACAGACAGAGUGGUGACGGUCCCGAGAGCAGAGGGCGCGACCUCUGGAGGUCAUCAGUAGGCGGCUCGUCGUACCCAGAACUGAGUUGAACUCACCCAGAGUUGGACGUCUGGCCCAGGAAGGCCUGGAUGACCAGCGGCAGCUCCGAUUUGACGAUGAACAGGAGUCUUACCUCCAAUGUUAUGCAGCGUGAUCAUGACAGCGGCGAUGAUCUUCCCCGGUUGACCGAAAGCUCUCAGGCCGAGCUGCUCGUAGGCCCGAAUACCUGCAGAGUGUCACAAGGUGUUAACCGACACUGACCUCCGCACUGAUCUGAUGAGAACUCCACGUCGAUGAAGCCUCACCCACAACCCCAGCGCUGCGGAGCAGCAGGUGGACGGAGUAGCAGGACAGCCCGGCGAUGCAUGUCAGGAGGAUCCUGUGAACACAAACAGUCACUUCACUCCUCGGGCUCAGUGAGUUCAGUACGUUGUGUAUUGCUCAGCUUCGGGGCUACGGUGGAGAAAAAAGAGUAUUAUUCUUGGAAGCCUUGGAAAUACUUUCUGAAAGAUGCAGACAGAUGUUUUUUACUAGAAAUAUGUAUUUUGUAGGAAACCAAGUACAAAGGGCAAUUCAAAGAUAUUUCUAUCUAAGAUGUAUUUGGACGUGAAACCUCGAACUGUCCCCUGUCCACAGGGGGCCGGCGUAGUUCCUGGUGGUUGAUCCUCUUGGGACAUCUACAUCUGGUUGGAUGUCUGUCGUUAGUUGAAUCACUCAUCUCUCACUAUGGCUGGAUGUGGCCUUCACUCACGAGUCACCACCCCCAGCCAUUCCCUCUAGCCACCAGAUGCCAGCGGUCUCAUCGCACCCCUCCAACCUUCUUUCCACCCUUCUCAUUCCUUAUCCCCCUGGAUCCCUUCAUUCCUUCCUUCCUCAUCCCCAACCCUUCCUCCCUCUACCCCAACCCUUCCUCCUUCUACCCCAUCCUACAACCCUUCCUCCCUCUAUCCCCAUCCCUUCCUCCCUCUACCCCACCCCCAACCCUUUCUCCUUCUACCCCACCCCCAACCCUUCCUCCCCAACCCU